rnacentral:rRNA from 1 species
AGAGUUUGAUCAUGGCUCAGAGUGAACGCUGGCGGCGUGCUUAACACAUGCAAGUCGAACGAGAACGGGUUACAGCUUGCUGUAACUGUCAGCUAAGUGGCGCACGGGUGAGUAAUAUAUAGGUAACAUGCCCCAAAGAAGAGGAUAACGUUUGGAAACGAACGCUAAUACUCUAUAUGCCUUUAAGUCAUAAGACUGCAAGGGAAAUAUUUAUAGCUUUGGGAUUGGCCUGUACAGUAUCAGCUAGUUGGUGAGGUAAUGGCUCACCAAGGCUAUGACGCUUAACUGGUUUGAGAGGAUGAUCAGUCACACUGGAACUGAGACACGGUCCAGACUCCUACGGGAGGCAGCAGUGGGGAAUAUUGCACAAUGGACGAAAGUCUGAUGCAGCAACGCCACGUGGAGGAUGACACAUUUCGGUGCGUAAACUCCUUUUAUAUAGGAAGAUAAUGACGGUACUAUAUGAAUAAGCACCGGCUAACUCCGUGCCAGCAGCCGCGGUAAUACGGAGGGUGCAAGCGUUACUCGGAAUCACUGGGCGUAAAGAGAAUGUAGGCGGGUUAAUAAGUUGGAAGUGAAAUCCUAUGGCUCAACCAUAGAACUGCUUUCAAAACUGUUGACCUAGAAUAUGGGAGAGGUAGAUGGAAUUUCUGGUGUAGGGGUAAAAUCCGUAGAGAUCAGAAAGAAUACCGAUUGCGAA